UACGUAGGGAGCCAGCGUUGACCGGCAUUAUUGGGCGUAAAGCGCGCGCAGGCGGUCCUUCAAGUCUGAUUUGAAAUCUUGCGGCUCAACCGCAAGCGGUCAUUGGAAACUUGGGGACUUGAGUACAGUAGAGGAGAGCGGAAUUCCACGUGUAGCGGUGAAAUGCGUAGAGAUGUGGAGGAACACCAGUGGCGAAGGCGGCUCUCUGGUCUGUAACUGACGCUGAGGCGCGAAAGCGUGGGGAGCAAACAGG
rnacentral:misc_RNA from 1 species